rnacentral:rRNA from 1 species
CUGGUGUUCGGGUUGUCAUGCCAAUGGCACUGCCCGGUAGCUAAAUGCGGAAGAGAUAAGUGCUGAAAGCAUCUAAGCACGAAACUUGCCCCGAGAUGAGUUCUCCCUGACUCCCUGAGAGUCCUGAAGGAACGUUGAAGACGACGACGUUGAUAGGCCGGGUGUGUAAGCGCAGCGAUGCGUUGAGCUAACCGGUACUAAUGAACCGUGAGGCUUAACCUUACAACGCCGAAGGUGUUU